ensembl:miRNA Gm22403 predicted gene, 22403
CAUGUAGAUAUAUAUGUGUAUAUAUCUACGUGUGUGUGUGUGUGUAUGCACACACACACACAUACACAUAUGUAUAUACACACA